UCCCUGGUAGCUCAGUUGGUAAAGAAUCUGCCUGCAGUGUAGGAGACCCAGGUUUGAUCCCUGGGUUGGGAA
rnacentral:tRNA from 1 species